UUAUGGCCAUAUCACGUUGAAACGCCGGUUCUCGUAUGAUCACCGAGGUUAAGCAAUGUCGAGACUGGUCAGUAACUAUAUGGAUGAAUAUUUGGGAAUACCAGGUGCUGCAAGC